rnacentral:lncRNA from 1 species
GCAAGUUCCCGUCUUCAUCUUCUUCCUACCAUAUCCAACACAUUAUUCUUCUCUGACAACUACUUUGAGAUCCUCUUUCUAUUCUUGAGAUGACUGUGUGUUAAGAGUUUUUUCCCCUCUUUUUUUUAUUAGGUCAUGAUCAGAGCUAUCCAGCCCACCCCAAAAUUUCAAUUACUUUGAAUACCAGAAAGAAGGGAAUGAGGUCUAGGUUUCCUCCUUCUACGAAUGCUCUGGGAAUUCUCAGUUCUAGGAAAAACACGAGUCCACGUGAGUUUCCAGAAAACUACCCAAGUAACUGUUAAGUGAAAGCAUUUAACUGCAAAUAAGGUGAGCUACAAGCCUGAAAACAUAGUGUGGAAAAUCCUGUUUACCUGUUCACCUCUUAGGCAGGCUGUCUGACCAGCUUGCUUAUCCAUUUUUUUCCAAGGCUGAUACAACUUGUGAUUUUUCACCAUACUCUUCCUCCAACUAAUCCUAUCAUCCCCAACCCUAAUGCCAGAACAUUCUUUGUCAUGGUAAAGGUACUAUUAGAAUACCUGCAGUAAACUAGUAGGUCUUAAUGCUAAUGUCAUAGUGGGCCUGGGGUAAGAUUUUCUUUAAUAUCAAAAUCAUAUCCUGGGAUGGCUAGGUGGCUCAGCAGUUGAGCAACUGCCUUCAGCUCAGGGUGUGAUCCUGGGGCCCUGGGUUCGAGUCCUGCAUCAGGCUCCCCACGGGGAGUCUGCUUUUUCCCUCCGCCUCUGUCUCUACCUCUCUCUGUCUCUCAUGAAUAAAUAAACAAAAUCUUUAAAAAAAAAAAUCAUAUCCCUCUCCAAUAAAAGUACAAGGGCUUUAUUUCCAGGCCUCUAUCUUCAGCCAUCUUAACCAAGAUAUUAUUUAGACGUGAUUUAACGUUUUCAAACCUUCAAAGCAAAUGAGAUCUCUAUUGAUCAAAACACAAACUAUGUGGAUGGGCAGGAGUACUCUGAAGGACUGAAAGAAAGGUGACUGUAGCCACCAGAAGG